rnacentral:rRNA from 1 species
CAUGUCUCAGUACAAGCCACAUUAAGGUGAAACCGCGAAAGGCUCAUUAAAUCAGUUAUGGUUCCUUAGAUCGUACCCACAUUUACUUGGAUAACUGUGGUAAUUCUAGAGCUAAUACAUGCAAACAGAGUCCCGACCGGAGACGGAAGGGAUGCUUUUAUUAGAUCAAAACCAAUCGGCGGCGGGUGCGUUCGCGCGCGCCCGUUCGCCGCUCAACUUGGUGACUCUGAAUAACUUUCUGCUGAUCGCACGGUCUCGCACCGGCGACGCAUCUUUCAAAUGUCUGCCUUAUCAACUGUCGAUGGUAGGUUCUGCGCCUACCAUGGUCGUAACGGGUAACGGGGAAUCAGGGUUCGAUUCCGGAGAGGGAGCCUGAGAAACGGCUACCACAUCCAAGGAAGGCAGCAGGCGCGCAAAUUACCCACUCCCGGCACGGGGAGGUAGUGAC